rnacentral:rRNA from 1 species
UGAACGCUGGCGGCAGGCCUACCACAUGCACGUCGAACGGUAACAGGAAGAAGCUUGCUUCUUUGCUGACGAGUGGCGGACGGGUGAGUAAUGUCUGGGAAACUGCCUGAUGGAGGGGGAUAACUACUGGAAACGGUAGCUAAUACCGCAUAACGUCGCAAGACCAAAGAGGGGGACCUUCGGGCCUCUUGCCAUCGGAUGUGCCCAGAUGGGAUUAGCUAGUAGGUGGGGUAACGGCUCACCUAGGCGACGAUCCCUAGCUGGUCUGAGAGGAUGACCAGCCACACUGGAACUGAGACACGGUCCAGACUCCUACGGGAGGCAGCAGUGGGGAAUAUUGCACAAUGGGCGCAAGCCUGAUGCAGCCAUGCCGCGUGUAUGAAGAAGGCCUUCGGGUUGUAAAGUACUUUCAGCGGGGAGGAAGGGAGUAAAGUUAAUACCUUUGCUCAUUGACGUUACCCGCAGAAGAAGCACCGGCUAACUCCGUG